rfam:Salmo salar isolate Sally breed double haploid chromosome ssa18, whole genome shotgun sequence.
UGCACUCACUACUGUAAGUCGCUUUGGAUAAGAACGUCUGCUAAAUGACUAAAA